rnacentral:rRNA from 1 species
CCACGCCGUAAACGAUGCUCACUGGAUCUUGGCGAUACACUGCCAGGGUUCAAGCGAAAGUCUUAAGUGAGCCACCUGGGGAGUACGUCGGCAACGAUGAAACUCAAAGGAAUUGACGGGGGCCCGCACAAGCGGAGGAACAUGUGGUUUAAUUCGAUGAUACGCGAGGAACCUUACCCGGGUUUAAAUGUGGGGUGCAUUAGGUGGAAACACUUAUUCCCUUCGGGGCUUCCCACAAGGUGCUGCAUGGUUGU